GGCUAACUCCGUGCCAGCACGCCGACGGUAAUACGGGUAGGGGGUUAGCGUUUGGUUACGGUAAUUACGUGGGGACGUAAAGCGCGCGUAGGCGGACGUAGGUAAAGGUUGGGGGUGAAAAUCCCCGGGGCUCAACCCCGGAACUGCCUCCAAAACUCCCAGUCUUGAGUUCGAGAGAGGUGAGUGGAAUUCCGAGUGUAGAGGUGAAAUUCGUAGAUAUUCGGAGGAACACCAGUGGCGAAGGCGGCUCACUGGCUCGAUACUGACGCUGAGGUGCGAAAGUGUGGGGAGCAAACAGGAUUAGAUACCCUGGUAG
rnacentral:rRNA from 1 species